rnacentral:rRNA from 1 species
AUACGGAGGAUCCGAGCGUUAUCCGGAUUUAUUGGGUUUAAAGGGAGCGUAGGCGGACGCUUAAGUCAGUUGUGAAAGUUUGCGGCUCAACCGUAAAAUUGCAGUUGAUACUGGGUGUCUUGAGUACAGUAGAGGCAGGCGGAAUUCGUGGUGUAGCGGUGAAAUGCUUAGAUAUCACGAAGAACUCCGAUUGCGAAGGCAGCCUGCUGGACUGUAACUGACGCUGAUGCUCGAAAGUGUGGGUAUCAAACAGGAUUAGAUACCCUGGUAGUCCACACAGUAAACGAUGAAUACUCGCUGUUUGCGAUAUACAGUAAGCGGCCAAGCGAAAGCGUUAAGUAUUCCACCUGGGGAGUACGCCGGCAACGGUGAAACUUAAAGGAAUUGACGGGG